CAAAAUGCCGCUCUGAGCCCACGAUAACAAAUCUGUUGCAUUACUGUAAUUCCCAGCAGUGGGACGGUGUCAGAGAGGGAGGACACACCACUCCCCGACCCUCCGCCUGCCCGCAUACUACACCUCACAAUCUUACAGUAAGUAAGAUUACCAGCUGUUGAAGAGCUGUUGAGGAGCUGUGAGUAAGAUGUUCUGGGACCGUCUGGGACCCGAGAACUAGGGUUGUGAGGGCACGACUGGUGCCCAAGACACCACAGGAGACCAAGGCAUGCCACAGUCGCCGCCCGCCGCACCAACGUGACGGGGUGAUGGGUACACUUACCGGCGCAACACCUGCUCACGACUUAACUGGGUGACCAGACCAUGCACCUCCAUUGUCUCCUGCUAACAACCCAUCCUCCCAACUGACAGUACGGUUUAAUACUAAGUGUAAUAAGUUCAUUUCCUGACUGUUAGGAAUAGUACAUAAUUGCACUUACUUGUGCUGUUCCAUUUAUCUCCCCAUAUUGGGAGGCUGGGCUGCCUAUUUCACCAGCUGCCACAACGUAUUGUCCGUGGCAAGACAGUCUUGAGCUAGUAGACAGUCCAGUAAAUAUGAUAAGGCCCAAUAGGUUCAGGAACCUGUACACCUGUUGACUGACGGUUGAGAGGUGGGACCAAAGAGCCAAGAGCUCAACCCCCGCAAGCACAAUUAGAUCACUGAAAUGUCGAUGAGAGCGGUGAAGAAUACAAUGAUGAUGGUGGUCAACAGUACUGGUACAGGAUGACACCAGACACCACUGACACCAAAGUCAUCAAAAGCUAUUGGGUAUUGAACAAAUUACAACAUUAGAUGUACACACAACGACCUUCAGGGAACUGAACACAUUAACCCAUCACACCUCAAACCACUGACACUAGCUCUCCACAUAUGUUACUUUGCUUAAUUUAGAAACUGUACAAAUCCACAAGGGCCGUGACGAGGAUUCGAACCUGCGUCCGGGAGCAUCCCAGACACUGCCUUAAUCGACUG